CCUAGUGGACAUAUGAGCCAGAGGAGGACACAGAUCAGGUCUCAAAUCUGUGCAGCAUUCACAUCUUCCUAUCUGCUGGGGUUACAGGUGCACGGCCAUACCCUGCUUUUAUAUGGGCAAUUGAGAGGGACUCGGUUCCUCCCGUUUGAGCAGCAAAACACCCAUGGAGCCAGGCAUAUUAGUGCGCCCACGAUCCCAGCAUUGUGGAGGCAGAGGCAGGAGGAUCUCUGAGUUGGAGGCCAGCCUGGGCUACAUAGUGAGACUCUUAUCUCAAAACAAAAACGAACACAAAUGAAGCAAAUAAGCCUUGUUCACCUUUAAGUCCUAAUCAGAAAUUCUGAGAGCAGCCAAGGCUGAACGGGGUCUGUGAGCUGCCAAAGGGCUGAGAAACUAGACGUAGGGUAAUGGGGAGCCAUGGAGGAUGUGUGAGCAAAAAAAAAGGCUUGUUCAGACUCUAUAACAGAGAGAUGACUGUGUACCAGUUGAGGACCCCCCUGAGGCAGUGGCUAGGGACAAGCUUUUGUUUUUUCACAGCAACUAGGUCUCUGCCUGAACAAUCCACACUUGUUAUCAUAACUAUUGUUGUGGUUAUUAGCGGUGGGCUCUUACUGUGAAGCCCAGGCUGGCCUGGAACUCUUAGAUAUAAGCAAUCCUCCUGCCUUCCAAUCAUAUUAUCUGAGAGUACAGAUUUGGAACACAGUAUCUGGGAAGAGAAAACCGAGGCUGAGUUUGAGCACUAUCUACACCCAGGACUGUGGCUAUCAAACCUUCAGUCAGGCUCUCUGGUUACUAGGUCAGCUUCAUCCUGAGCUCAGGCUCAGGGCCAGGGACGUCCCCAGUUCCUUGGGGCCUUCAUCCCAGCCGUCUGGGCAGCCUCCCAGGCUGACCCCUGGUGGCCCUGUUGGCCGGGCUCCAGCCGAGUGUUUCCUGCAGUGACAGGCUCUGGCCUGUAUUUCCGGAUCCAGGAAAUAUCGCCGCUUUGUCCCCAAGGCAGAGCGUGGCACAGCCGGCUGUGUGAUUCACCCCCAGCUCCCACUGGGGCCAACGCUGGAGGGAGCAGCCGCCUUCAGCCUCCACGUUUGUCCGGUUUUCCCUCGAAGGCUCCAGCUUGCUGCUGGGAGUCAGGGACAGCAGGGCUAGGGGUUAGAGAGCAGUCCUCACCCUUCAGUCCCCUGCCUUCAUUCUGUUGCAUAUCGAUUCUGUAAGGGCUGCUUUAUUUUCAUCUGUACCAACCUGAGGAGAUGUUCUGGUACAAUAUGUCUGCACCAGAAGGAGACAGGAACCUGUCAUAACUGUCCUCUGAGAGGCUCCACCAGCAGUCAACAGAAAGAGAUGCAGAGACCCACAGCCAAACAUUGGAUGGAGCUCAGGGAGUCUUAUGGAAAAGGACUGAGGGACCGGAAAAGGACAGAGUUUUCACAAGAAGAUUGACAGUGUCAACUAACCCGGACCCUUGGGGGCUCUCAAAUUGAACCACUAACCAAAGUGGAAGCAUGGCCUGGAUUUGGGCCUCUGCACAUAUGUAGCAGAUGUGCAGCUUGGUCUUUGUGAAGGUCCCGAAAACAACUGAAGUAGGGGUUGUCCCUGAGACUGUUGCCUGCCUGUGGUGCCCCAAAAUGGACUGCAUUGUCUGGCCUCAGUGGGAGAGGGUGUCCUAUCCCUGCACUGGAGGGUAGGUUGACACCAAGAUGGGGGUUCCUGUUCUCAAAAGAGAAAGGGAGAGGGAGUGGGAAGAAGACUUCUGUGGAGUACUGAGAGGAGAGGAAGGGUUGGUAUUGGAUUAUAAAA